ACAACAAGACAAAUGCGUCAGCAGUACUAUUGCGAACCGCGUCAACAAUUUUUUGUUUAGAAUUGCAUUUAAAAGGCGAAAUCUGAAUACUUUCCGGAUUUUAAAAGCUUUUCUGGACAAAACUUUUCGAAAACUAAUUUAUUAUCAAUUUUUGAUUAGAUUUAUUAACUUUUUUGCUAUAUUUUUGAUUUUAUCAUGUUUUUAUGUAAUAUAGUCG
ensembl:ncRNA C28G1.9 ncRNA